ensembl:misc_RNA Metazoa_SRP Metazoan signal recognition particle RNA
GCUGGGCAUGGUGGUGUGUGCCUGUAGUCCUAGCUACUCAGGAGGCUGAGGUGGGAGGAUUGCUUGAGCCCAGGAGUUCAAGGCUGCAGUGAGCUAGGAUCAUGCCACUGCACUCUACCCUGGGCAACAGACCUAGACCCUGUCUCUU